CCUACGGGAGGCAGCAGUGGGGAAUAUUGGACAAUGGGGGGAACCCUGAUCCAGCCAUGCCGCGUGUGUGAAGAAGGCCCUCGGGUUGUAAAGCACUUUCAGUGAGGAAGAACGCCUGGUGGUUAAUACCCAUCAGGAAAGACAUCACUCACAGAAGAAGCACCGGCUAACUCCGUGCCAGCAGCCGCGGUAAUACGGAGGGUGCGAGCGUUAAUCGGAAUUACUGGGCGUAAAGCGCGCGUAGGUGGCUUGAUAAGCCGGUUGUGAAAGCCCCGGACUCAACCUGGGAACGGCAUCCGGAACUGUCAAGCUAGAGUGCAGGAGAGGAAGGUAGAAUUCCCGGUGUAGCGGUGAAAUGCGUAGAGAUCGGGAGGAAUACCAGUGGCGAAGGCGGCCUUCUGGACUGACACUGACACUGAGGUGCGAAAGCGUGGGUAGCAAACAGGAUUAGAUACCCCAGUAGUC
rnacentral:rRNA from 1 species